GUUGUCGGAUUCACUUCAAUCCAUGUGUGUUGGUGUGGAUUGGGAUGGAAUUGAGUUCAAGUUCUACACCAAUCCACCUCAACACAUGUGGAUUGAUGUGAAUCCGACU
rfam:Sorghum bicolor cultivar BTx623 chromosome 8, whole genome shotgun sequence.